rnacentral:rRNA from 1 species
GAUCAUGGCUCAGGAUGAACGCUAGCGGCAGGCUUAACACAUGCAAGUCGAGGGGCAGCGUGGGGCAGCAAUGCUCUGACGGCGACCGGCGGAAGGGUGCGUAACACGUGAGCGACUUGCCCGUCACAGGGGGAGUAACCGGCGGAAACGGCGACUAAUACCCCAUAUGCUGCGAUGCUGCAUGGCAUUGCAAUGAAAGAUUCAUCGGUGGCGGAUAGG